UGUGUGUGUGUGUGUGUGUGUGUGUGUGUGUGUGUGUGUGUGUGUGUGUGUGUGUGUGUGUGUGUGUGUGUGUGUGUGUGUGUCUGCCUAAUCAGCACUUGUUUUCUAACGUAACUUUUGGAAUGAUAGAGAGUCGAGUUAAUUGCACUGUUCUGUCUGCUGCUGUUGUGGGGUUGGGACGUCACUCUUUGGGCAUUUUUCUGAUGUUCGUUGUAAGAACAUAAAUCUUCACUGUGAAAUGUUUCUUUUAUGAAGCUCCUGUCACCUGGGUUGCACUACAUGGUAAAGGAUUUCAGUCCAAAAUAAAAGAGGCACAAUUUAAUGAGUAAUACUCUUAACAUGCAGCAAAAUAAUUCUCAAAAUGCGUUAAUCACUUCUUGUACUCCAAUUCUUCAUGCUUAAAUGGGGUUUCUCCUCCAAAAGAUCUUAGUUUACAGUGGUUCCCAACCUUAUUGGCACUUUAAAGAAUAUUAGGUUCUUGGAAAAUAUGUAGCUGUGCCCAUCAGCUGGUUAGCUUAUGUUAGAAUAGCAUAGAGACUGGAAACAGAGGGAAACAUCUAGCCUUGCUCUGUAAAAAAUGUGCAUAGCAGCUCAGCUAAAGCUGACUAAUUGACACAGUAGUUGAACCAAAUUUAUAUAUUUGAAGGAUUUUUAGAGGCCCCCAAAAUAAAAAGUAUUCAGUAUUUCACAGGAAUGAAGCAGAAAUUGUGGAGAAGCCAGAAAACAAUGAGAAAACUUUACAUACAAUUUUUUUUUUUUUCUAUCUUUCUUUCUGGCACUUUUAAUAAUUUGGUGACCCAUCAGGUUGUUCUUGGGACCCCUAAAGUCUGGAAACCACUUGUCUAGUAUAUAUUUUAAAGACCUCACUUGUUACGGCUUAACUGGACUUUAUUUUUAUUUUUCUUGAGGCUGGUUUUACUUCUAGGGUUUAAUCUAUUUAGUGGCCCUGUAGAGAGUUAUAUUAACCAUCAGAGUAUGUUGGGGGAAAAAUAAUCUAUGAAGUUAAUGUCAUAGUUACUGAUAUGUAUAAAAUUGUGGGAAAACAAAUCUGCAUUUUAUCAAAACGUUUACCCUGGAUUUCAGUCCCAAGUACAAUUUUAUGUGUACCAAUCUAUUAAUGGAUUAGUCUCCGGAGUACUUAUACCCUCAUCAACAGGCUUUGCUUUGUGUACGAUCCCUCACGAGGUAAACACUCCUGAGACACUACUUAAAGCAAAUCAUGUGAUAUUCAUUUCCCUACGGCCUCACGGAGGAGUAUUAAAGAGAUAAGCUGCCUCUGUGUCUUUAGUUUGAACCAGGCGGUUUUUAAAGAAAACACUGAGCUCUUCAGCUCACGGCUCCUAAAUGAAGUGACCGACCGACUCCACUGAAAAGCCUCCUCAACUCAGCAGAUGGAUUGUCUUUGGACUGCCUUUAACAUGGAGGUGUGCAGAGGUUUAAAGUGCACUACAGAUUAAAGUGUCUAUUAUUAAAAAUUAUUGGU